GGGCCGGGGAGCUUAAGAAAGUAUUUAUCAGAUGAAAAUGAAGCUGUUUUGAACUGGAAACAAAGAAUUGGAAUAGCACUUGAUGUAGCGCAAGGGAAUUUGAAUUGUCGGACUGGAAUAUUUACAUAAUGGUUGCAAGACACCCAUAAUCCACAGAGACAUUAAAUCCGCAAACAUUUUACUAAAUGAAAAGAACAAAAAAUUGCAAGCUAAAGUGGCAGAUUUUGGGUUGUCUAGAAGUGUGCCUAAUGAAGAUCCUGCUUAUUUAUCAACUGUGGUCGUUGGCACAUGCCAUUACCUUGACCCCAAGUAUUUCUUAACGGCAGGGUUGAGUGAGGAAAAUGAUGUCUAUGGCUUUGGGAUUGUUCUAUUGGAGCUUAUUUCAGGCCAACCUGCAGUGGCAAAGAGCAGCGCGGGCACAGUUCACCUACUCCAAUGGGUUCCUCUCCUGCUCCUUGAUACGGGGGAAAUCACGGCUAUUGUGGAUCCAAGGUUAAAUAUUGAACGCUUUGACAUCUAUUCUGCCCGGAAGCUUGUACGAACAGCGAUGGCUUGUGUAAAACGUAACUCCCCGGAAAGGCCAAUCAUGAGUGAUGUAGCAGACAAAUUAAAACAGUGUAUGAACUAUUUAGCAAGAACAAUUGGGGAUGAGAAAAAGUAGUAUCCGCCUCAGUCCUUUUCACGCUGACUCUGAUAUCCAAUACCAUCUUUAACGAGGAUUCAGUCAAGAUUCUGAGCUAAGAUGCUGAGACCGAUGUGCCUCGAAACCCUCUGAGUCGAUGAUUGAGACUGCGACUUUGAACCAUGUCUUAGAGGCAAUAGCAUACCAAGCAAGGUAGAAAUAUUUGUAAAUGCAGCGCUUACCAUUGUUUUAAUGAUUAUUUCUCAGGCUUUGGUGAACAUCUAUAUGUAUUUUGAAUGAUAAUGCUCUUGCCAAUUCUAUAAAAUAAAUUGAACCCCAUCAUCUACC